rfam:Trichomonas vaginalis G3, whole genome shotgun sequence.
GUCUCUGUGUUCUAGCGGUUAGGAUCCAACUUUCACACGGUUGGGAUGCCGGUUCGACUCCGGCCAGGGACA